ensembl:lncRNA
CUCUUAGGGAGCUGAGUCACGGACGUCUGGUGUCGGAGUAUUGUCGCUGUCACAAGUGCCUGUUCCAUCGCCUGCCCGCCUACCUAGGAUUUUGUGUUGACUAUUGUGGAUCCGCGACGGAGUGCUACGUACCAUCAGGCGGCGUUCACCGCAGCGGCUGUGGUUUGGGUGGUCAAGUAGCUCCGGUGCGUCUGCUGCCUACCUGCAUGCUUCGGCUCCGUCUCAUCGCCUCGGUGUUUACCUCCUGGCACAUUUUUAUUUAUCACUGUAUAUAGCCCCUUCCCUUGUAAAUAUUCCCCCUUACUCGUGUAUAUAAAAACUUGCAUCACUA